rnacentral:rRNA from 1 species
UACGUAGGGGGCUAGCGUUGUCCGGAAUCAUUGGGCGUAAAGCGCGCGUAGGCGGCCCGGUAAGUCCGCUGUGAAAGUCAAAGGCUCAACCUUUGAAUGUCAGCGGAUACUGCCGGGCUAGAAUCCGGAAGAGGCGAGUGGAAUUCCUGGUGUAGCGGUGGAAUGCGCAGAUAUCAGGAGGAACACCAAUAGCGAAGGCAGCUCGCUGGGACGGUAUUGACGCUAAGGCGCGAAAGCGUGGGGAGCAAACAGG